UCAGGCUCAUCAACUGGUUCUCGCAUCAUUUGAGUAACUUCCAGUUCAGAUGGAGCUGGGAUGACUGGGCUGACUGCCUGACUCAAGACAUUGAAAAGCCCAAACCCAAGUUUGUUAAAGAGGUUUUGGAAAAGUGUAUGAGGUUGUCGUACCAUCAGCGGAUAGUGGACAUUGUUCCUCCGAGUUUCUCUACCCUGAUCCCGGCUAACCCUGUGUGCAGCUAUAAAUAUGAAGAGGAGACUGAGUGUAUGUUCAGGCUCAAGAACACAUCUG